CACCCAGCGGUUUACAUUAAAACACACUUUUCUGCCUGAUUGCAGGGGAUCCCAAUUAAAUAAUCAUCAAGGUCACGUUAUAAUUAUGUUCAGCUGCGAAUAAUUAAAACGCCGCAUCUAACUCAGUUCGUUUUAGAUGCAGAGCAAACGGUUUGAAACAGGAUUUUACCCGACCGUCCAGUCAACACCUGCUACAAGAUCAAAGAGACGAUGUUAAAGAAAGACACAGACCCCGGAGCUCUUGGAGAAAGAGUUUAAUGGUCCCCAGUGAGCUGCCGUGACCCUCGGGCUUCGACAUCCUCCGCGCACUGCAGAGGAGCAGCCAAUCUGCCGCGAGCAAGAGGAGGCGCGCACGGCCAUCAGUCAGUCAGAUGCACAUGGAUUACACACAUGCAAGUCAUACUAAUGGACAAGCAGCAGAUGGUCUAAGAUUCAAAAGAAUUGGUUGAUGGUUUAUCGGUUGCUAUGAGAACGCCUUAUUGGGUUGAGGAAUGGAUUUACGAAUGUACGGCAAACCAUGAAACACUGGCAGCCUCUCUUUGAUCUUCAGUGAAAGCAGCAGUCUGCUGACUUAUGCAACGAGCCAUUGGGCAAACUCUUAACGUCGGAAAAGCUCUCCACACGGAGGGCUAAUACGAAUUGACACGCUCUCCUCAUCAGUCAGAGAGGCUGUGGGUGAGAGCUAAGGAAACGUCUAUCCUGAGUUGAUGCCAACACUUGUCUUUGACCCCCUUUGGGAUUACACUUCACACAUGGGCACCCGCUGCUCACGCAACCCUUUAUGAUCCCCACCGGGCAACGGUUAACCACUGCUGACUAAAUCCCCUAGUAAGGAAAGAAGAGAUCUUGGGAAAAAUGUGAGAGAGAGGUUGGACACAAACAGUAAGAGGAACGUGAUAAAAGGUGAUCUGUGCCAAUAAAUAUGGUACUGUUAUUAUUAGAUGAAAUAUUGACCUAGGUAGACCCUGACAACAGCAGCUCCUGCUCACACCAUUUAAACUUCUACAUUAAAUGCAGCUUUAUUUUAUUUUCUAAACCCACUAAUGACAGAAAGCCAAUGAAUUUGCCUGAUGGAUAUGUCUGACAUUGAAACAUUGGAGGAACUAGUUGAGCAACCUCAACCUCCAUCACCCCUGAUAGUAAUGUCUUUACUUUGUUUGAGACAUAAUGAGUAUUUUGCAGCUUUAAGCACCAGCUGGCUAUGGAACAACAGCAACAAAAAGUCUACAGUGCAUGCGGGUCUUUAACCCUUCGAAAUCGUAAGCUCACACUGGUGUGAUCAGUUUUUACUGGUCCCUGGAGAAUACAAUCACACUGGUGUGAUGGGAAUGUUCAGUGUCACAUCUUUAACUUCUAAACUCAAAUCUACUUCCUGCCCCUCCACACUGAGCCAGUAAAAGAGGCACGCAGCACUUGUCAUAUGACAAAAUACUGUUUUCAAACAAAUACCAUUUAUUUUAGGCUUCAGACAUUUACUAACACAUUAGUUCUAGCAAAACAUAACAUUAAUGAUUUGUAAAAAUGCAUGUUAAUGUGUAUGAAAAUGGCUGUAAUAUUAGUUUUACACAUAAUCACACAAACAUUUUUAGAAUGUUUACUGUUUUUUUCUCAGUUAAACUGCAACUUAUUUUUAUGAUGUUUAGGAGAAGUUGAUGAACUAACUGCUCUGAUCCCUCCACUAACAUGGCGGCAUCAAUUACCCAACAUAAACCAUACAGUGUGAUCAUUAAUAUGUUGUUUAAACA
ensembl:lincRNA